UCGAUACGAGCAUUUGUUUACGUCCAGCAGCGCAUCCAUCGGGAGUCGCCCACCAACCCUGAGGAUGCAGGCCCCGAGGCAGUUGCAAGCGAAACGUUUGGUUUCAGUAAAUUUGGUGGCUGUCGGCAUAGCCUGCAGCAGCAGCCGCGGGUUGACCUCGCGCCUCCUGCGUGCGUGACGGCCCCCAUCGCCCCUGGGGGGCCACGCGAAGCUAGAAGGGGUUCGGGCAGGGGGCGAAGGCCUCGCGGGGCCCGUCGGACCGCGACAUCUGCACAACGCGUGAGGGUGACCCUCCCCCCCGUGCUCCGCCAACCCGCUCGCCCUUCUGGACGAUCGUCUUGCAGGAAGUGACGGUUUAUACAGGGUGUUUGUGAGGCAAAUUGCGCGCAAUAUUUUCUUCUAGAUGGUGCCGCAAAAGUGCCACUUUUGUUGUAUUUUGGAGGAGUUUUUCAGGUCGUGGUAAUUGCUUAUGGAAUGUUGUUUUGUCGGAAUGGAAUAGAAGCGGGGAAAUGUUAA